rnacentral:lncRNA from 1 species
CAUCCCAGCACAGGGAUGUUCAUCCCAGCACAAGGAUGUUCAUCCCAGCACGGGGAUGUUCAUCCCAGCACAGGGAUGUCCAUCCCAGCACAAGGAUGUUCAUCCCAGCACAGGGCUGUUCAUCCCAGCACGGGGAUGUCCAUCCCAGCACAGGGAUGUUCAUCCCAGCACAAGGAUGUCCAUCCCAGCACAAGGAUGUUCAUCCCAGCACAAGGAUGUUCAUUCCAGCACAGGGAUGUUCAUCCCAGCACAAGGAUGUCCAUCCCAGCACAGGGCUGUUCAUCCCAGCACAGGGCUGUUCAUCCCAGCACAGGGAUGUCCAUCCCAGCACGGGGAUGUUCAUCCCAGCACAGGGAUGUUCAUUCCAGCACAAGGAUGUUCAUCCCAGCACGGGGAUGUCCAUCCCAGCACAAGGAUGUCCAUCCCAGCACAAGGAUGUUCAUCCCAGCAUGGGGAUGUUCAUCCCAGCAUGGGGAUGUUCAUCCCAGCACAGGACUGUUCAUCCCAGCACAAGGAUGUUCAUCCCAGCAUAAGGAUGUUCAUCCCAGCACGGGGCUGUUCAUCCCAGCACAAGGAUGUCCAUCCCAGCACAGGGCUGUUCAUCCCAGCACAAGAAUGUUCAUCCCAGCAUGGGGAUGUUCAUCCCAGCAUGGGGAUGUCCAUCCCAGCACGGGGAUGUUCAUCCCAGCACGGGGAUGUUCAUCCCAGCACAAGAAUGUUCAUCCCAGCACGGGGCUGUUCAUCCCAGCACAGGGAUGUUCAUCCCAGCACAAGGAUGUUCAUCCCAGCACAAGGAUGUUCAUCCCAGCACAAGGAUGUCCAUCCCAGCAUAAGGAUGUUCAUCCCAGCACAGGGAUGUUCAUCCCAGCACAGGGAUGUUCAUUCCAGCACAAGGAUGUCCAUCCCAGCACGGGGAUGUUCAUUCCAGCACAGGGAUGUUCAUCCCAGCACAGGGAUGUUCAUCCCAGCACAGGGAUGUUCAUUCCAGCACAAGGAUGUCCAUCCCAGCACGGGGAUGUUCAUUCCAGCACAGGGAUGUUCAUCCCAGCACAGGGAUGUUCAUCCCAGCACAGGGACGUUCAUCUCAGCACAAGGAUGCAGCGCUGCAGGCUGGACACAUCCCGAGGCUGGGCUGGGCCAGCGCCGCUCCCUGUGCCUGGUCAGGACACAUCCCUGUCCAGGGUUGGUGGCGAUGGCUGUCCCCAUCCUUGGGGAGACAGAGAUGUCAGUGUCAGCAGAUGGAGGAUAGAGUAAAAGCAGUGAGAAGGGGUUCAUUUGAGGCCAAAUAAGAUGGGAAAUUCCGAGCAAGGAUGCCAACUGUGCCUGUGGCAUCGCCAGGAGAGCCUGAAUUGUUUCUGCUGCGAGAGAGGAGCAAGGCAGAUCUGGGCUGGGACCUU